AGGUGCGUUCCCGGCGGGGCUGAGCAGGACCCCCUCGCCCUCCAGGGGACACCAGGAGAAGAUUCGGCAGCGGCAGUCCAUCCUGCCUCCUCCCCAGGGCCCGGCACCCAUCCCCUUCCAGCACCGCGGCGGGGAUUCCCCGGAGGCCAAGAAUCGCGUGGGCCCGCAGGUGCCACUCAGCGAGCCAGGUAGGCCGAGGGGCUGGAGGGGGCUCCACAGGGCUCAUUGUGGGGGGCUCGGUGAGCAGCCGCCGUGUCCCCCAUCAGGUUUCCGCCGUCGGGAGUCGCAGGAGGAGGAGCCGCGGGCCGUGCUGGCUCAGAAGAUAGAGAAGGAGACGCAAAUCCUCAACUGCGCCCUGGACGACAUCGAGUGGUUUGUGGCCCGGCUGCAGAAGGCGGCCGAGGCUUUCAAGCAGCUGAACCAGCGGAAGAAGGGGAAGAAGAAGGGCAAGAAGGCGCCAGCAGAGGGCGUCCUCACACUGCGGGCACGGCCCCCCUCUGAGGGCGAGUUCAUCGACUGCUUCCAGAAAAUCAAGCUGGCGAUUAACUUGCUGAUCGUCAACACCUGCAGUGGCCCAGACAUCGCACGCUCCGUCUCCUACCCACUGCUCUCCCGAGAUGCCGUGGACUUCCUGCGCGGCCACCUGGUCCCUA
rnacentral:sRNA from 1 species